rnacentral:lncRNA from 1 species
GCGGUGGUUGCCCACUCGCAGCAAUUUAAUCAGAGUUCUUGUUUGGCGCUCUUCUGCCCUACAGGAACCCCGCCAGUCACAGCCUGCUGUCCCCUGAUGCAUGCGGACAGCUUCCAUCAGCAAUCAAGGGGAGAAGAGACAGUUUCAUGAGCCAGGUUGCAGUCUGGAAUCUGGAUAUUGCAACACUUAGUGAGACAAUGAACAACUUCUACAGGAUUGACCAGCUCAAAGUGCAAAAGUAAGUGUAUACCUUUGUGCAUACCUUAUUGAUCUUAACACCACAAAACCUAAACAUCUUGCUGUUAUCUAAAACAUCAUGUCAUUCCAAAAUUCAUAUUGAAACACUGCAAAGGGAUGAAUUACAGAAAAUUAUUGCUUCUUGUGAUGUCGUUGC